rnacentral:ncRNA from 2 species
UCUUUAUCAAGAGUGGUGGAGGGAAGGGCCCUGCGAAACCACAGCAACCGAUCCGACAGUACGGAUGCCAGGUGCUAAUUCCUGCCCCUGAUAAAGGGGAACGAUGAGGA